rnacentral:tRNA from 4 species
GGCCUUGUAGCAUAGCGGAUUAUGCGCCUCCCUGUCUAGGAGGAAUACGUGGGUUCGAGUCCCAUCAAGGUCG